rnacentral:rRNA from 1 species
GACGAGCCUCACAAACGUUAUUCGGAAUUACUGGGCUUAAAGGGUGCGUAGGCGGCGUAGUAAGUUGGGUGUGAAAUCCCUCAGCUUAACUGAGGAAGGGCGCCCAAAACUACUAUGCUCGAGGGAGAUAGAGGAGUGCGGAACUUAGGGUGGAGCGGUGAAAUGCGUUGAUAUCCUAGGGAACACCGGUGGCGAAAGCGGCACUCUGGAUCUCUUCUGACGCUGAGGCACGAAAGCUAGGGUAGCAAACGGG